rnacentral:rRNA from 1 species
UCCGGGGCUGCACGCGCGCCACACUGAGUGGAUCAGCGUGUGUCUACCCUUCGCCGAGAGGCGUGGGUAACCCGCUGAACCCCACUCGUGAUAGGGAUUGGGGAUUGCAAUUAUUUCCCAUGAACGAGGAAUUCCCAGUAAGCGCGGGUCAUAAGCUCGCGUUGAUUAAGUCCCUGCCCUUUGUACACACCGCCCGUCGCU